CAAUUUUGCGUGGAACUGAGGGAG
rnacentral:miRNA from 1 species